rnacentral:rRNA from 1 species
UACGUAGGAGGCGAGCGUUGUCCGGAAUCACUGGGCGUAAAGCGCGUGUAGGCGGAUGACUAAGUUUGCUGUGAAAGCGCCUGGCUUAACCGGGCGAGGUCGGCGAAAACUAGUCGUCUGGAGGCCGGUAGAGGGGGGUGGAAUUCCGGGUGUAGUGGUGAAAUGCGUAGAGAUCCGGAGGAACACCCGUGGCGCAGGCGGCCCCCUGGGCCGCGCCUGACGCUGAGACGCGAAAGCGUGGGGAGCGAACAGG